rnacentral:rRNA from 1 species
CACGUAGGGUGCGAGCGUUGUCCGGAUUUAUUGGGCGUAAAGGGCCCGUAGGCGGUUUGGUAAGUCGGGUGUCAAAACUCCAGGCUCAACCUGGAGCGGCCAUCCGAUACUGCCAUGACUUGAGUCUGGUAGGGGAGUGCGGAAUUCCUGGUGUAGCGGUGAAAUGCGCAGACAUCAGGAGGAACACCGGUGGCGAAGGCGGGUCUCUGGGCCGUAACUGACGCUGAGGAGCGAAAGCGUGGGGAGCGAACAGG